GACGAACGCUGGCGGCGUGCUUAACACAUGCAAGUCGAACGGAAAGGCCCUGCUUUUGUUGGGUGCUCGAGUGGCGAACGGGUGAGUAACACGUGGGUAACCUGCCCUUGACUUUGGGAUAACUUCAGGAAACUGGGUCUAAUACCGGAUAGGAGCUCCUGCUGCAUGGUGUUGGUUGGAAAGUUUCGGCGGUUGGGGAUGGACUCGCCGCUUAUCCGCUUGUUGGUGGGGUUGUGGCUUACCAAGGCUUUGAGGGGUCCCGGGCGUGAGGGGGUGAGCGGCCACAGUGGGACUGAGAUGGGGCACAGACCCCUACGGGAGGGAGCAGGGGGGAAUAGUGCAAAAGGGGCGGAAGCCAGAUGCAGCAACGCCGCGGGCGGGAUGAGGGCCUGCGGGGUGUAAACCGUUUUCGCGUGUGAAGAAGCGUGUGUGACGGUAAUGGGUAAAGAAGCACCGGCUAACUACGUG
rnacentral:rRNA from 1 species